rnacentral:rRNA from 1 species
GAAUUCACUAGUGAUUCAGGCCUAACACAUGCAAGUCGAGCGGUAGAGAGAAGCUUGCUUCUCUUGAGAGCGGCGGACGGGUGAGUAAUGCCUAGGAAUCUGCCUGGUAGUGGGGGAUAACGUUCGGAAACGGACGCUAAUACCGCAUACGUCCUACGGGAGAAAGCAGGGGACCUUCGGGCCUUGCGCUAUCAGAUGAGCCUAGGUCGGAUUAGCUAGUUGGUGAGGUAAUGGCUCACCAAGGCUACGAUCCGUAACUGGUCUGAGAGGAUGAUCAGUCACACUGGAACUGAGACACGGUCCAGACUCCUACGGGAGGCAGCAGUGGGGAAUAUUGGACAAUGGGCGAGAGCCUGAUCC